AAAUAAAUAGCUUCGUCGUAGUCUUCUGAAAUCCCUACAACUGAGAAAGUAUCAUACCCUAGGGUUAUUGCUUUUGCUUCUUCUCAACCUCUCCAGAACAUGUACGGUUUCCCCUUCGGUCAACACAAUCCUCCCGUCUUCGGUCAACACAAUCCUCCCGUCUUCGGUCAACACAAUCCCCCCGUCUUCGGUCGUCAGAAUCCUCCCGUCGUCGGAGUAAUAUUCUUCUCCUUAUGCCUCUCUGUUGUUCCUCGAUUAAUGGUAUUUUUUAAUUCUGCCUAUGUAAGACAAUACAUCUGAUUAUAUAUAUUUUUUGUACUUUAGGGAUGGCGACUGUUGGAUGAUCCUGAAAAAAGAGCCUAUUUUCUGAAACCACGACGCAGGUAAAAGUGAUGCUUUGUUUAAUUUCGAGAUUUGU
rnacentral:lncRNA from 1 species